GCCCGGCUCGUCCCGGGCCCAGCCUCCCGCCUCCCCGGUGGGCCGGGGCCUCUCUGUGCCCGAUUCCCCCCCGUCCGCGCUUACUGUUCUGCAACCGUUUUCCCCAAACUGCUGGGUAAAGCUUGAGGUGGAGGAAGAUGGCCCCGGGGCGCGCGGGACCCACCGGGGACGGUGAGCACGGCUGUGAAGGCGGUCUAGCCUCUGGAGACUGCACCUAACCUUGAGGAAGAGUCCAGAGAAGAAAAAUGGCCCCUGAGCCAAGAGAAGCAAAGUCUCAGGUGUCUGUGACAUUUGAGGACGUGGCUGUGCGCUUUACUCGGGAUGAGUGGAGAAAGCUGGAUCUUCUCAGAGAAGCUUGUACCACAAGGUGAAGCUGGAGAACUACAGCAAUCUGGCCUCACUGGAUAAGGAGAUUCCCCUAUAGAUCCGGAAUUCAGAAAUGGAGAGGUCACAGUUCCUCCUCCCUUGAACAGCUAUGACCAUCAUGAGAACUCAGCCGAGUUCCAGCCAAGGAUUAUAUCCAUUGAAUCUCGAUGAAUCUUCAAACUUUCUCUUGCAAGUCUAGGAUCAUCUGUCCUAUGUAUGAGAAUGGGGGAGGGGGCCCGAUGCUGAUAAUUAUCCCCCUUCAAUACCCAAGUUCACAUCAGAAGUUUCUUCACAGUUACAGCAGCAUUUUCUGUGAGCAGAGGUUCCCUCAACCUUCUCCUUUGGCCUAUGUUUAUCUUCCCACUUCUUUUUUCCAGCCAGUUGAAGACUAUAUACUCCUUCUUUGAGAAGGAAUCAGUGUUUCCUUUUUAAAAAGCUACUUAAUACAUAAUCUUUCCCAAAGAUAGCUGCUUUUUAAGCUCAAUUAAAUUAACUGAAAGCUCUGGUUGCAUGUUUA